AGAAUCGUAGAGGAGAACUAACAAUGGAACAACAAACUGAAGAUUAAGUGUGAUGUCCUCUAAAAUCUGAUGAUUGUGGUAGAUUGGACGAAAGAAUAAAUGGUCUUAGUAUGCCUUUUUUAAGUUGAAUUAUGUAUCAUAACAUUUGUCAUAUGCUUCUUCUACUACUACUGUUGGUGUGCUAAGGAGAGGAUAAGCCCACCAAAAUCAUUGAUUUGGUAUUUUCUUUAUGUGCUCAUGGGAGACUAAUCAACCAAAUUAUUGCGAUGGUAUUGUCUUUUGCCCUAUCCCCACAUUACUUAACCAUUAUUUAUACUUUUGUACCAAUCAAUGUAUUCAUAAUUUGUAUCAACCAAACCCUGACUACAUAAGUAAUGCAUUCAGGUGCACUUGACUCUGGUCUCUUCAUCAGGAAAUUACAUUUCCCGGGUUUGGUUUUCCCAGCAGCUAUGGGCAGUAGUGGAUGUGUGUGACCAUUUGGUGAGAGAUAAAAAAAUCUGCAGGACAUCAAUACCAUAAGUUGGAAGUGAAAGAGGCUACUUUCUUGCUGUGUACCAGAAGACAAUUGCAAUGGCAACGAGAAUGUAAACAAUGCCCAGUUUGUUCAUCCACUGUACUAGUUCAUCCUCAGCCCCUCGUGACGUUAAUCCACCCCAAAGCAGGAGUAGGGUCUUACACCGCAAGGUGGCCCGAACCUGGGUAAACUGUUGUGCAUCUUCUUCCUUGCUCACGCGAACCCAGCUAGGCUAGGCUGUAGGGCGACGAGUUAGCGAGCUCGAGAGGUUGAGUUAUUCGCACACACCCAGAGUUCGAAACUUCUUGGGUUUGCGGAGCCCUGAAUCUGACAUUUGGCGCGUCAGGUAGGGGCGUGUUGAAGUCCUGCCUCUUUAUCAACAUCUCUUCG
rnacentral:lncRNA from 1 species